UACCUUGAGUUGGGAUGAGCUUAACUGUAUGUGAUGAAAAGGUUCAAGUUUGGGGUUGCAUGGGGGAAAUUGGAAAGCUUUUAAGAAGCAUUGAGCUCAAUUGUUGAAAAAGAAAAAUGCAUGUGAAAAAGAAAAAAAAAUAAGAAAAAGCAUGAAGAUGAGCUCAAUGAAAAGAAAAAGGGAAAAAGUUGGGAAUGAGAGAGUUUGGUGAGAAAGAGAGUUGUGCUUAAAUGUUAAAU
rnacentral:lncRNA from 1 species